UCCUGACUUGUGAUUGGCGGAGCAGUCCGGACCAAAUGAAUGGCAACUUGUAUUGUUCAACGUCCCUUCAAGACCGUGGACACUCUGCGGCUCCCAACUCCCCACAAAGUCCCUCAACAGUUUGGUUUUUACGUUUGGAACGUGUUUUCGUGACUUCACACCGGCGCGUGAAGGGGAUUUAACAAAAGAACCAGCCGUGUUUGACGUUGCGUCGAGCGAAGCUAACAGUUGAUCAGGAGGCUCGGCUGGACAUGGGGGACGUGGAGCCUCCAGAGUUUGGGUCCCUGCAGGAAGAGCUGGAUUACUGGAAGGACCAGGCUGCCAGACAACAGCAGAGCGCGGAGGAGGCCCGAGAGGAGCUGCAGGAGUUCCAACAGAUGAGUCGUGACUACGAGGUGGAGCUGGAGGCGGAGCUAAAACAGCGCGAGGCGCAAAACCGCGAGCUUCUGUCGGCCAACAGCCGUCUCUGCACAGACCUGGAAAACUACAAGGAGAAGUACGAGACGCAGCACUCGGAGGCCCACCGGCAGAUCUCCAUCCUGGAGGGAGACCUGGCCGAGACCACCGCCGCCAGAGACCAGCUCCACAAGUACAUCCGGGAGCUGGAGCAGGCCAACGACGACUUGGAGCGGACCAAGAGGGCGACUAUCAUGUCGCUGGAGGACUUUGAGCAGAGGAUGAACCAGGUCAUCGAGAGGAACGCCUUCCUGGAGAGCGAGCUGGACGAGAAGGAGAACCUGCUGGAGUCGGUCCAGAGGCUGAAGGACGAGGCCAGAGACCUCAGACAGGAGCUGGCGGUGCAGCAGAAGCCGGUUCAGGACAGGAAGUCGUCCUUAAGCAGCUCCAUCAGAGAUCCCGCCUCCUCCUCCUCCCCCACAGCAGGUCUCCCGACCCCCCCCCUCACCCCACCAGACAAACUGACAGAGGACAAACGCCCGCCUCCAUCAUCUCACCAUCCCGCCACGCCUCCACUCAGACCUCCACCCUCAGCAGAGUCCUUGGACCUAAUCAGCAGAGUGGGGGGGAAUCCGCUCCCCCCCUCGGCCAGGAUGUCCGCCCUUAACAUCGUCGGGGAGCUGCUGAGAAAAGUUGGGAACCUGGAGUCCAAGCUGGCGUCGUGUCGCGACUUCGUCCAGGAGCAGACGGCGAGCCGCAGGGCGGGGGCGGGCUCAGAGACCCGCCCCCCCAACGGCCUCUACGGCGCAGGGUGAGAGGGGGCAGGUCCAUAGCUGGAGCGCUCGUCACUCUGUUAAAACGCUGUGUUUGACGCUCAUGCAGACAAAAGCUGAUGAAGAGGUUGGACUUUGCCGCGGCCCCCAAGCUGUUGCUGUGAGACCCCCCCCAACGCCCCCCCCUCAAGUGUGGAUGGACGCGGUUGCCGUGGAUACUUCGGGAUCUGGGUUGAAGACAUUGACUUUGUUUGUCAGUGGAACCUUAAAGAACUUACUGUACUUUGCUUUUUCUUCAAAUCUUUCAUGUCAUUUUUUGUGUUUGGACUGAAAACGAAGCAGAUUUCAGAAACGACAACAUUCCGGUUUGUAAGGAAACGAUCCGAUGGAUGCAGGUAGAGACAUAAAUGCUUCGUCAUGGUUUGAAGCUCUUUGAUAACGACCCAAAACCCGAUUAGUAACUGGUGCAAUUAAGAGUCUCUGCGGCUGCAUUCUGUGGAGUGACCACCAGGGGGAACUCCUCUGGAGAUUUGAACCUUUUUUAAUGAGAUUAGGAGCAUUCAGUCCGUCUGAUGUCAUGUGAUGAAAUGACCUCUGACCUCUGACUGAACUCUACUUCCGUCUCUCUGGGAGAGACGAGCAGACGUGUGAAACCUUCAGUGAAGGCUACUUGUGUUUUAUGUUAAAAGGCAAUAAAGGGUGUGUUAUGUUU